UACAUGGGGUGCAAACGUUGCUCGGAAUUAUUGGGCGUAAAGCGCACGUAGGUGGUCUGUUAUGUCAGAUGUGAAAGCCCUCGGCUUAACUGAGGAAGUGCACCUGAAACUGGCAGGCUUGAGUACGAAAGAGGGUCGCGGAAUUCCCGGUGUAGAGGUGAAAUUCGUAGAUAUCGGGAGGAACACCGGUGGCGAAGGCGGCUCACUGGCCCGUAACUGACGCUGAGGUGCGAAAGCGUGGGGAGCAAACAGG
rnacentral:rRNA from 1 species